ACUGCGUCAUUGCAUCACUGCUGCGUAACAUUUUGCACAGCUAGGCAACUAUACUGAUGCAUAUACCUUUUGCAGAUAGUUGCAUGCGGUUGGACACAUGGAGGAGAGAAUCAUUUUCGCAGUAUCCUCAAAACCGUGUCUUUUUGACACAACUGCUGGCAGCGAUAGGGACAUAAACACAAAAAAAUGCUGCUUGGAGACAAGUGUCCACGAUAGUAGGAUUGCCAGGUCAGCUUGUGCUAGAUGUGGCUAGUUAGCGUUAGCUAGCUAGCUAACCUAGCCAAUGAGGUGUGUGUGUGAAAUAAAUAGUCAAAUAAAUUAUGCUAGUUACUACCCCUGAUAACUUUACCAAAUAAUCAUGUUUGAAAGAGUGUGAGUGUAUGCUAGAUUAAUAUAAAUUGUAGAUACUACUGUACCCCUGAUAAUUUGGUCAGAUAACCGUGUGUGUGUGUGUCUGUGUACAGUAGGUGACAUGUCCAUGAUAGCUAUCUAAUAACUAUAGUUAUGCUAGGUAAUGGUUUAGCUUAUCAUGUUCAUGUCUAUGUAGAAGAAGACUGUAAGAGGAAGUGGAUAGGACUCAGGGACAGGUAUCAGAGAGAGAGAGAAGGGCAGAGAAAGAGAAGAAGAGGUCUGCGUCAGCAGCCACAUUCUUUCUUUUCUGGAUCCAUUUAUUGUGCCUAGGGCAAUGAGUGGCAAUUUUACAGCCAGACCCUCUACUACGUCAUCCACAAGUGUUGUCCCCACCGGUGCAUCAAGACCCUCUACAACGUCUACAUCAUCCACGAGUAUGACCACCAUGGAAGAUUAUGAAAUGGAGGAAGCACCUCUGGAUCUAGGACCACUUGAGAUUAUUAUGAACCUCACGGAAGUGACCGCUGAGGACCACGUUGAACAGCAUGUGGCCCGUGGAGAGAAACGAAGAGGAAUGUCACACCAGGUGUCGAUCGGCGGUACCAGCCCCCAGAUCCACUCAACUCAUUUCAGCAGAGGCUCCUCCAAGCCGUCGAGAGGGAUGCAGCCCAACCUGAUGCUCACAGGAAGGAGGAUGACGAGACCCUAUUUGCCAUGAGCCUGGUUCCAACGCUGAAGAGGCUGCCUCAGCAAAGAAAAGCAGCAGUCAAGGUUAAAAUGUAUCAGCUGCUUUUCGAUGACAAGUUCAAGGAAAUGGAGUCAAUUUAGCCGACCAGCUCACAGGAAGGACAGGAAGAGGAGUUGUCUGGUUGUUGUUUUGACCUCCCUCAUUGUACCUUUCUUUUCACACACGUCAGUUCCGUUUAAAUUCAGUCAAUUCAUAAAGUAAUUUGUUUAUAAUGUCUUAGGAUAGCAUUCAUUAUUAGUGUUACAUAGAUUUCUGAAUUGACAGAAUUGAAACUCACACACUGGAGAAUUCACAGAUGCUCUUGUUGGUCUCUUACGAGACUAAAGGUGAAUAUAUUUAUUUCAUUUAAAACCACUUGAAAACCAGUGUGUUGAAACUGUUUGUGAAGUUAUGUUCCAUCGAUUGGUCCAUGACGUCCAGGGGCCAUUUGUUUGUUUAGCUAUGUUAUGGUUACACCUUUUUUUUUUUUUUUACAGAGACACACACCUCUUCUCCACUUCUCUCUGUCCCUCAGAUCUCCAGUGCCCUGCCCUCUCUUUAUGGCCAUGUCUGAAGUUCCCCUACUACGUCUAGUCUUUAUGAGUUGUCCCUGUAUCUGUCUGCAGUUGUGCCAAAAAUACAUGCUCUUGUUGUUCUCUUACAGAUUACAGGCUACACAUUCAUUUUAUUUAUUUUUUACACGCACACACCUCUUUUAAUAGAUCUAUUUAAAAAAAAAAUUUUUUACAACACACAUACCUGUCAUGUUCUUUCCUGUACUUGAAUACUAAUUAAAUAAUGUUUUCAUAGUCA